CCCCUCUCAGGAUCGCACCUGGAGAGUUUCCAAUACUCUACCAGCCUCAACCUCAGGAGGGACAGUCAAGCAGAGGAAUACCCAUUCCAUUCCUAGCUUGGGCAGUGGCUAGCAAGUGGAAGGCAAUCUGCUACAAGU